CCAGACUCCUACGGGAGGCAGCAGUGGGGACGCUUGCACAAUGGGGGCCCCCAUGAUGCCGCCACGCCGCGUGCAGGCAGACGGUUUUCGGAUUGUAAACUUCUGUUCUUAGUGAAGAAGAAUGACGGUCGCUAAGGAGCAAGCCACGGCUAACUACGUGCCAGCAGCCGCGGUAAUACGUAGGUGGCAAGCGUUGUCCGGAAUUACUGGGUGUAAAGGGAGCGCAGGCGGGAAGCCAAGUCAGCUGUGAAAACUACGGGCUUAACUUGUAGACUGCAGUUGAAACUGGUUUUCUUGAGUGAAGUAGAGGUUGGCGGAAUUCCUAGUGUAGCGGUGAAAUGCGGAGAUAUUCGGAGGACCACCGGUGGCGAAGGCGGCCAACUGGGCUUUAACUGACGCUGAGGCUCGAAAGUGUGGGGAGCAACCAGGAUUAGAUACCCGAGUAAA
rnacentral:rRNA from 1 species